CGCGUAGGCGGGAAAGCAAGUCAGGUGUGAAAUCUAUGGGCUCAACCCAUAAACUGCACUUGAAACUGUUUUCUUGAGUGUCGGAGAGGUUGACGGAAUUCCUAGUGUAGCGGUGAAAUGCGUAGAUAUUAGGAGGAACACCAGUGGCGAAGGCGGUCAACUGGACGAUAACUGACGCUGAGGCGCGAAAGCGUGGGGAGCAAACA
rnacentral:rRNA from 1 species